rnacentral:lncRNA from 1 species
GGGGGCGGGGCCUGGGCUGCGUGCGCGUCGCCGGGUGUCCCGGGCCUCACCUCCAGCCUCCUGAACGUCUGGGCUGUUCUCCGAGGCCGGUCCUCAGAGGACCUUCUCCUCAGAGGUCGCCGCACGAGACGUUCAUCAGCAUUUCCCGCACUUCGAGAAAAUGGCUUCCUUCCGGCCAGUGAAGACGGCCCCUCAGAGAAAGUUCCUGCAGUCAUCUCAACUCCUGCUUCACAGAAAACAACUUCAGCCAGAGUUUUGAGUGGGAUAAAAUGGGAUCAAAAGGAGAGUGAGUUACUAAGAGUAACUUACAGUACAAGGUUAGUGGCUUAUUUCACUAGAGGAAUGGGUGCAAAGGAAGAAUACCAUUUGAAGGAAAGAAUUGAAUUGCUGAUGGAACAUAGCUCUCGGUGACCAGCUAGUUCAGAAGAUUUUUUCAUUCAAGACUGACACUUACUUUCACCCUAAUUUCACCGGUGUUCUCUUUAUCUGGGUACAGAAUAAAACCGUGUCAUUUGCUGUGAUAAAGAUACUUUGCUAAAGGCAGAUUGGGUUUUCCUUGUUUUCACAAGAGUGCUAUAACUAAGAAUGGCC